UACGAAGGGGACUAGCGUUGUUCGGAAUCACUGGGCGUAAAGCGCACGUAGGCGGAUGUGUCAGUCAGGGGUGAAAUCCCGGGGCUCAACCUCGGAACUGCCUUUGAUACAGCACGUCUCGAGUCCUGAAGAGGUGGGUGGAAUUCCUAGUGUAGAGGUGAAAUUCGUAGAUAUUAGGAAGAACACCGGUGGCGAAGGCGGCCCACUGGUCCGGUACUGACGCUGAGGUGCGAAAGCGUGGGGAGCAAACAGG
rnacentral:rRNA from 1 species